GUGCCAGCCGCCGCGGUAAUACCGGCAGCCCGAGUGAUGGCCACUCUUAUUGGGCCUAAAGCGUCCGUAGCCGGCCUCGCAAGUCCGUCGGGAAAUCCACGCGCCCAACGCGUGGGCGUCCGGCGGAAACUCCGAGGCUUGGGACCGGAAGGCUCGAGGGGUACGUCCGGGGUAGGAGUGAAAUCCCGUAAUCCCGGACGGACCACCGAUGGCGAAAGCACCUCGAGAAAACGGAUCCGACAGUGAGGGACGAAAGCUAGGGUCUCGAACCGGAUUAGAAACCCCAGUAGUCC
rnacentral:rRNA from 1 species